GAUUAUGGCUCAGGAUGAACGCUGGCGGCGUGCCUAACACAUGCAAGUCGAGCGAUUCUCUUCGGAGAAGAGCGGCGGACGGGUGAGUAACGCGUGGGUAACCUGCCCUGUACACACGGAUAACAUACCGAAAGGUAUGCUAAUACGGGAUAAUAUGUUUUUGAUCGCAUGGUCGAAAUAUCAAAGCUCCGGCGGUACAGGAUGGACCCGCGUCUGAUUAGCUAGUUGGUGAGGUAAUGGCUCACCAAGGCGACGAUCAGUAGCCGACCUGAGAGGGUGAUCGGCCACAUUGGAACUGAGACACGGUCCAAACUCCUACGGGAGGCAGCAGUGGGGAAUAUUGCACAAUGGGCGAAAGCCUGAUGCAAGCAACGCCGCGUGAGCGAUGAAGGCCUUCGGGUCGUAAAGCUCUGUCCUCAAGGAAGAUAAUGACGGUACUUGAGGAGGAAGCCCCGGCUAACUACGUGCCAGCCGCAGC
rnacentral:rRNA from 1 species